GCUCGGGUGGUGGAAUGGUAGACACGCCAGACUUAGGAUCUGGUGCCGCAAGGCAUGAGGGUUCGAGUCCCUCUUCGAGCACCA
rnacentral:tRNA from 1 species